GAUGAACGCUGGCGGCGUGCCUAAUACAUGCAAGUCGAGCGAACAGACGAGGAGCUUGCUCCUCUGACGUUAGCGGCGGACGGGUGAGUAACACGUGGAUAACCUACCUAUAAGACUGGGAUAACUUCGGGAAACCGGAGCUAAUACCGGAUAAUCUAUUGAACCGCAUGGUUCAAUAGUGAAAGACGGUUUUGCUGUCACUUAUAGAUGGAUCCGCGCCGCAUUAGCUAGUUGGUAAGGUAACGGCUUACCAAGGCAACGAUGCGUAUCCGACCUGAGAGAGUGAUCGGCCACACUGGAACUGAGACACGGUCCAGACUCCUACGGGAGGCAGCAGUAGGGAAUCUUCCGCAAUGGGCGAAAGCCUGACGGAGCAACGCCGCGUGAGUGAUGAAGGUCUUCGGAUCGUAAAACUCUGUUAUUAGGGAAGAACAAAUGUGUAAGUAACUAUGCACGUCUUGACGGUACCUAAUCAGAAAGCCACGGCUAACUACGUG
rnacentral:rRNA from 1 species